rnacentral:rRNA from 1 species
UAGGUAGGUGGUCUGAUUUGUCUAGGGUGAAAGCCUUGGGCUCAACUCAAGAAGUGCCCUAGAAACGGUCAGACUGGAGUCUCGGAGAGGGUCGUGGAAUUCCCGGUGUAGCGGUGAAAUGCGUAGAGAUCGGGAGGAACACCAGCGGCGAAGGCGGCGACCUGGACGAGCACUGACACUCAACUACGAAAGCGUGGGGAGCAAACAGGAUUAGAUACCCUGGUAGUCCACGCUGUAAACGAUGGGUACUAGGUUUGAUGGGUCUUGACCCCCGUCGAACCGGCGCUAACGCACUAAGUACCCCGCCUGGGAAGUACGGUCGCAAGACUAAA